rnacentral:rRNA from 1 species
GACGAACGCUGGCGGCGUGCUUAACACAUGCAAGUCGAACGGAAAGGCCCUGCUUUUGUGGGGUGCUCGAGUGGCGAACGGGUGAGUAACACGUGAGUAACCUGCCCUUGACUUUGGGAUAACUUCAGGAAACUGGGGCUAAUAACGGAUAGGAGCUCCUGCUGCAUGGUGGGGGUAGGAAAGUUUCGGCGGUUGGGGAUGGACUCGCGGCUUAUCAGCUUGUUGGGGGGGGAGUGGCUUACCAAGGCUUUUACGGGUAGCCGGCCUGAGAGGGUGACCGGCCACAUUGGGACUGUGAUACGGCCCAGACUCCUACGGGAGGCAGCAGUGGGGAUUAUUGCACAAUGGGCGGAACCCUGAUGCAGCAACGCCGCGUGCGGGAUUACGGCCUUCGGGUUUUAAACCGCUUUCGCCUGUGACGAAGCGUGAGUGACGGUAAUGUGUAAAGAAGCACCGGCUAACUACGUG